GAGGAGGUAGUCUAAAAAAGACAACUGAUUUCGGCUCAGUUAAUUAUGGUUCAAGUCCAUACCCCCUCU
rnacentral:tRNA from 1 species